GCCGCGCCCUGCGCUAGAAGCGUGGCAGCGGGCCGGCACGGCGGCGGGGGCCGGGCCGCGCAGGGCGGGCGGCGCCCCGCUAUGGCCCUGGGUGCCGGCAGAAGCGGCGGCGGGGGGCAGCGGCGAUCGGCGUGAGCGCGCCGGGGGCUGGCCGCGCUGCAUGGGGGCGGGGGUCGGUCGCCAUGGAGGGGGUGCUGUACAAGUGGACCAACUACCUGAGCGAUGAGGAAGUGCAGGGAGCUCAGUGCAGAAGGAAGUUUAUCAGAACAGCCUGGGACAGCUCAGCAAGGUGACAGGCAGCUGGAAAUAAGAUCUCUUGACUCAGUCCUGUGUUAUGACCGUUUGAGAUGCAUCCUUUAACUGGAAAACCUAAUUUUCUUCAUCAUUGGAAGGCAGGCGUUUUGUAAGUAACAGUUACAUGAUAAGAAGAUGGUGUAUUCUGGGCAGUAGCUACUACCUGAACAAUGAGGGGCAGGCUGGGUUUUAGCAAAGAUCCAAACUUUAUAUUACAUUCAUAGGCUUGCAUUAGCACUGGCAACUUAGCAUUUCACUUGUGUUUCGCAAGCUAGCAGCACUGCCUUGGGCUUGUUUGAGCUUUUCCGGCAGCUCUCAUCAGGCUAUCAGUCAUGGCCGUGACGCCUUGGGUGUUGGGAGAUAAAAUGGUGGGUGGAGGCAUGUUGAACAGUGCUUACCCAGCGCAAGGUGGGAUGAAGAGAUGGAUGUUGCUUGCACUUGCUGUGAGGUGUCUCUUGUGACUUUGCAAAGAACAAGUGCUGUGGGCUGCCACAAAGUCAUGGCCUGGGAUAUUAGCAGUGGGGAUGUGGUGUAGGCUCCUGUCAGGUGGAUGUUGCUGUAAUGUGGAAGGUUCGUAGUUAUCUCCUAUCCACACUUAAAAUCUGAAUUCGGGUCUAAGAACUCCAAGGAUGAUAUAUUGUAUAUGUUCUUCUAAAGACUCAUGUUGAAGCUCAAGAAAUUACUAAGCAUAAAGUAUUAGAAAAUUCUCCUGGAGAGCAAGUAGUAAUAAAAGCCUGUGUGUCUCGCCUUUGUGCCUUUUAGAAAUGCAACUGGAACUGGCAUCUCUUAAUUGCAGCUUGUUUUCCAGGUCAUCAGUUUGACUUCCUGAGUAUGUAAUUCUCC
rnacentral:lncRNA from 1 species